UGGCACAGUUGGUAGUGCUUCAGUCUCCCAAGCUGAAGGCCCCGAGUUCGAUCCUUGG
rnacentral:tRNA from 1 species